GACGAACGCUGGCGGCGUGCUUAACACAUGCAAGUCGAACGGAAAGGCCUGCUUUCCCUUGUGGAUUGCGGGUACUCGAGUGGCGAACGGGUGAGUAACACGUGAGUGAUCUGCCCCCAACUUGGGUAUAAGCCUGGGAAACUGGGUCUAAUUCCCGAUAGGACUGCAGGGUGGUGCCUGUGGUGGAACACGAUUUUCUAGUGGUUGGGGAUGAGCUCGCGGCCUAUCAGCUUGUUGGUGGGGUCAUGGCCUACCAAGGCGGCGACGGGUAGCCGGCCUGGGAGGGUGGACGGCCACAUUGGGACUGAGAUACGGCCCAGACUCCUACGGGAGGCAGCAGUGGGGAAUAUUGCACAAUGGGCGGAAGCCUGAUGCAGCGACGCCGCGUGGGGGAUGACGGCCUUCGGGUUGUAAACUCCUUUCGACCGCGAGGAAGCCACCUGGUUGGAAGGGUGGUGACGGUAGUGGUAGAAGAAGCACCGGCUAACUACGUG
rnacentral:rRNA from 1 species